rnacentral:rRNA from 1 species
GACGAACGCUGGCGGCGUGCCUAAUACAUGCAAGUAGAACGCUGAAGGAGUACCUUGCUUCUCUGGUUGAGUUGCGAACGGGUGAGUAACACGUAGGUAACCUGCCUUGUAGUGGGGGAUAACUAUAGGAAACGAUAGCUAAUACCGCAUAAGAGUAGAUGUUGCAUGACAUUUGCUUAAAAGUUUCAAUGGCUGCACUACCAGAUGGACCUGCGUUGUAUUAGCUAGUUGGUGGGGUAACGGCUUACUAAGGCGAGGAUACAUAGCCGACCUGAGAGGGGGAUCGGCCACACUGGGACGGAGACACGGCACAGAGUCAUACAGGAGGCAGCAGGACGGAAUCUUCGGCAAUGGACGGAAGUCUGACCGAGAAAGGCCGCGUGAGUGAAGAGGGUUUUCGGAUCGUAAAGCACUGUUGUAAGAGAAGAACGAGUGUGCGAGUGGAAAGUUCACACUGUGACGGUAUCUUACAAGAAAGGGACGGCUAACUACGUG